CCCCCUCCGCAACGCUCACACACACACACACACACACACACAGACACACACACACACAGACGGACGCGCGCACAUCCACGGCGGCGGUUUUUUCUGCGCCGUUUUCUUUGUGCCUCCUCUUUUCUCACGCUUGCCCCGCAUUGUCUAGCACGUUGGGACCUUCUCUCCCGCCGUCCAUCCCUUCAAGGGAAGCUCACUCACAUACCCCCCUCCCCUCUCCCUCCCCACACCCACCCGUGUUCGCACAUAAGCGGCUUCUUUGUACAACUACUGCUGCUGCUGCUACAACUCUUCUCCUUGCAGCACCGAGAAGCGUGUUUGCCGCGUUUUUGCGGGACUCUUGUUCUUGUGGCACUCUCCCCUCCCUCUCUUUUCCUUUCCCUCCUCCCCCUCUUCCUCACACUCUGCGCUGUUUUUCUCUUCCCCUCCUCCUCCUCCCUUACGAGAGCCGUGGCUCCCUUGCUGUGUUUGUUAGUCGCCGUUGUCGUGGCUGUGGCGUUGGUACUUUGACGGUCCCGGCCUUCCCGCCCCAACAACCCGCCCUCUCUCUCUCUCUUCACCCCUCCCGCUUCUGCGCACGCUGCAAGCACACACGCACAUCCACCCAGUCGAGACGCCAUUCACACCAUCACUCCUUCUUGCCCAUCGGUUGCUGCAAGACACUGACCAAAAACCAAAGAUGGGGUGCGGAGGAAGCAAGAGCAUCCGCGAGAAGAAGGCCCAGGAGAACACGCCCGAUGCGGCACUCUUUCAUAUAGGUGAUGCGCCAAUGCUCAUCGAGAGCCAUCCGGUCUCGAUGCCGGGGUCACCUGCGGCCGCUUCCACCCUCUCCGCGCCUGCGCCAUUACAUCCUGAGUACGCAGGCGACUAUGAGGCGCAGAAUGCAAUCUCCCCCAAAUCGGGCAAGGCUUCCGCUGCUGGACCGGCGGAGCGCAACACGGGCUCGGAGGCAGAGUCUGCUGCUGCUACUCCAACUGCUGAUAAUGUGUCGGCUGUCAGCACCCCCCAAAAGGAUGACAAGCAGCACGCGGGGAAGCCGAUCACUCUUGACGAGCAGCAACACCAGCUUACUUCUAGGGUUCACGAGGAGAGCCAGGCCCGUUUCAUGGUGGACGAAAGCUCCCCGUAUGUUGGUCCGGGCCCCGCCGUGGAGUUCCCCAUCGAUCACGUCUACCGCUGCUUUGAUGUGGAGAACGGCCUCCUGUUCCGCUUGGUGAACGACAAGCGCCACAUAUGGGCCUUCUACAACGACACAUCCGAGUACACGAUGCGGAUCUCCGUCAAUUUCGGACCCGAGAGCUCUAUAAAGGCUCUCGGCAGCACGCGCCAGGUUUCCCUCGAUGAGACAGGCCAGUGCCAGCUGGUGCUGGAUGUGGCGCCAGGGGAGACCCAGAGCUUCAUGCGCGGCGAGUACAACGGCUUUUACACGUGCUACGACGCCAGUCCGAUUAACGUCGCCACCGACUUUGACGCAUAGGCGAGUCUACCUCGGCGGCAGCGGCGGAGGCGGGCGGGAAGCUUGACAAGCGCAUUGCAGCCGAGCAGCUGAACAGUGCGGCAGCCGAGGUGCACGACAAGACCCGGCAGCCGAUGGAUGCCGUCCCCUGAAGCAUCCGCUGAGGAGAAUUCACCGGCGAAGACGGAGGAUACGGGGCAGGAGGCCAAGACUUCCGCUGCUGCUAAGAAAUCCGUUACUCCGAUGGCGCCACCUGCUGCGGCGCUUGCUGAGACGGAGAUGACACACCACGACACCAAGGCCCACUUUGCCGAGGAGGCUUCUGUGACCGAUCGCAAGGUGAAUGAUGACGUGGUGAGGGUGCCGCAUGAGGUUUAGUGUACUUGUAUGACGAGGCUGUACGCAUACAUGAUGCGCACGCAUGUUGGGCGGAUUCUCUUGGCGCCCAAAAACGUUCUUCUUGUGCUCUGUUUUGGUGUCUCUGCUCUCGCCUCUCCUCUCCUCUCUCCCCCUUUUCUUCUCUCCCGUCGCUAUACAGUUCGUGCAAGAUGCCGAGGGGCCGAUGAGGCACCUGGCCCUCGUGCGCACACACACGUGAGCAACGCGUGCUAUAAUUCCAUUUGUGUGUAUCGGAUGGCGAUGGUGUCUUGUUGAGACUUUGUUGUUUCUCCUCCACUGCCUUCAUUCAUUUUUUCCCUAUUGGUGCGCGUCUUGUUCCCCCCCUCGCUCCUUCUCAUGCUCACCACUUCACCACGCCACCCGCCCCUUUCAAGUGCACACUCAUUUUUCGUUUUUUCUCUCAUCCCUCUAAUGAGUUUCUCCGUCUGCUUUGGUGUCGGCGUCAUUGCUACCUGGCCCUUCCCCUUGUCGUUUGGUAGAGGAGAGAGAGCGAAGUGUGUGUGCGUGUGCCAGUGAGGUGCGCUGAUGAUGGAAUGGGCUAGCUGCUUUGUUUUCAGGCUUGUAGACAUUCGGUGCUUCCUAUCAUUAUGCGUUUCUGCGUGUUCUCGUCUUCGUCCGCCAUGCUUGGCCUAUGCAUGGUACGUGAAAGCGCUUUUAUAAUGUUUACACUCCAACUUCUUCCCUCCCCCUCCCUUCUUCCCCUUUGCGGUCCUACUCUCUCCUGUUCUUCCCAUACGAACCCGUGCAUGCGUCAAGCCUCUCUCUCUGAGAGCAAGUCCCGUGUAUCUGUAUCCAUCGAACCUCGCCCUCCCUCUCGUACUUGCUUCAUGGAAGCAAGGGAGGAAUUACGAUGGGGCGCACUGACUACUUGGCGCGUUGUGUCGAAGGAGUUCAGAGGCAAAGGUGGGUAUGAUGGAUGCGAGCAGUAAUGAGUGGACGGCGAUGCGUGUGCAUUCUCACCGAUGCAUGUAUGACUUUCUUAUCAUGAGAAAGGCGGGUGACGGAUAUAAACGCAGAGGAAAGAGAGGACGCGGCAUCCAAUCACGUAUGCCCCCCUUGAACGCAAUUCUUUGUCGACGCCAAAGAAUAUGCUUGGCGUGUGGCUGUGCCCUUGCAUGUCGACGACAUUGAUGGCCCUAUGCACGGAUGGCGCGUGCGUGCGUGGGAAAGCUUUUAUAGCUUGCCUUUGAGCACAUCCAUUCUCUCCCCCUCCCUGUGUGUGUGUGUAGAUGUGCUUUGUGGUUGCGCUAGUCCACGGGACACUGUUGGCCCAUGCAUACGAAACGCUCUUCGACUUUUUCGCCUUCACUGGUCUCUUAACCUUUCUCCCUUUCCCUCCCUGCUAGUGCACUCGACUCCUGCACGCACCUCUCUCUGUCUUCUUGUAUAUGUCCUUGAGCGCCCCCUACUCUCAUUGCCGCUCCACCGUGAGCAAUGCGGCAAACGCGUUAUGCGGGAGAGGCUGCUGGUGGUGGUGGUGGUGGGGUGAACAGCUCGGCCUAUCUGUCGAUCAGGAGAAGAGAGUGCCGUGUGUGGUGGAGGUAGGGAGGGGAGAAAGCUUCUUUCUCUCUUUGAUUAGCACAAAACG
rnacentral:misc_RNA from 1 species